CACUGCUGUCCCUGACUGUGAUGUGCUUCACGUUUCGGAUUCAUGCCAUCAGGCUUAUGACUACAGGACACAUUAAACUAUCAGAUCCCAUGAUAACUGGGAGAAAUCUCUACUUUAGAGCUAAAAUCCUUCACCUCACUAUGCAAUGAAGAGCUUAGACAUUUCCUAUGAGAGCCAGGCCCAGCUGCAGUUGAAAUCACGCAUUUCGUACAAGGCUGACCCCCCACCGUAUUUCUGAGG